rnacentral:misc_RNA from 1 species
CCGAUUUUGUAUGAAUCCAAAACAAACAACUCUUGACGCUAACACGGCAUCAGCAGCGGCAGCAGGGUUAAGCUGGUAUUUAGUUCCUUGUUGUUGCUAUUGUCGUUGUUGCUGAAAGCAAGUCCCACCGCACCAAAUGUCUUGAUAUACAGUCUCUCAUUGUUAAAGUGGGGACAGAUGUAGACGUUGUGUGGGACUUGGUGAAUUUGUCAUUGUACCGAUUCACAUAGCCACCUGAUACAAUGCACUGUCGUAAGUGCCCAGGUAAAACUGACUGAAAUGUGUAGUAAACGGGUAUUUGUGUGGUUGGGAGUAAGACCCAAUUAAAGUAUUGUUCGCCACAACCCACAGUCUACAUAAUGUUCAGUUUGAAUCUGGGCCAAGUAGUGAUAAAGUUGGGGCUAACCUUUUUUAACUUCACAUGAUCACACGUCUACUCACCCUUAUGAUGAGGGUUUGUCUGUGUGAGUUGUGAAAAGCAAAACUUUGUGAAAGUGUUAAAACCACUUAAAUAAAGAGAGAAUAAAAAAUUU